UACGUAGGGUGCGAGCGUUAAUCGGAAUACUGGGCGUAAAGCGUGCGCAGGCGGUGAUGUAAGACAGAUGUGAAAGCCCCGGGCUCAACCUGGGAAUGGCAGUGGAAACUAGGGGACUGGAAUCUGGCAGAGGGGGGUGGAAUGCCGCGUGUAGCAGUGAAAUGCGUAGAGAUGCGGCGGAACACCGAUGGCGAAGGCAGCCCCCUGGGCUGAGAUUGACGCUCAGGCACGAAAGCGUGGGGAGCAAACAGG
rnacentral:rRNA from 1 species